GGGGCUAUAGCUCAGUGGUAAAGCACUUGCCUAGUAUGCAUGAGGCGCUGGGUUCAAUCCUCAGCACCA
rnacentral:tRNA from 1 species